GUGCUUGCUACGGCAGCACGUAUACUAAAAUUGGAUCGAUACAGAGAAGAUUAGCAUGGCCCCUGCGAAAGGAUGACAAUGCUAAUUGCCUCUGUUGCUCCAAGUCCUC